rnacentral:rRNA from 1 species
AGAGUUUGAUUAUGGCUCAGAACGAACGCUGGCGGCAUGCCUAACACAUGCAAGUCGAACGAACCCUUCGGGGUUAGUGGCGCACGGGUGCGUAACGCGUGGGAAUCUGCCCUUAGGUACGGAAUAACUCAUGGAAACGUGAGCUAAUACCGUAUGAUGUCUUCGGACCAAAGAUUUAUCGCCUAGGGAUGAGCCCGCGUUGGAUUAGCUAGUUGGUGAGGUAAAGGCUCACCAAGGCGACGAUCCAUAGCUGGUCUGAGAGGAUGAUCAGCCACACUGGGACUGAGACACGGCCCAGACUCCUACGGGAGGCAGCAGUGGGGAAUAUUGGACAAUGGGCGCAAGCCUGAUCCAGCAAUGCCGCGUGAGUGAUGAAGGCCUUAGGGUUGUAAAGCUCUUUUACCCGGGAAGAUAAUGACUGUACCGGGAGAAUAAGCCCCGGCUAACUCCGUGCCAGCAGCCGCGGUAAUACGGAGGGGGCUAGCGUUGUUCGGAAUUACUGGGCGUAAAGCGUACGUAGGCGGCUUUGUAAGUUAGAGGUGAAAGCCCGGGGCUCAACCCCGGAAUUGCCUUUAAGACUGCAUCGCUUGAAUCGCGGNNAGGUGAGUGGAAUUCCGAGUGUAGAGGUGAAAUUCGUAGNUAUUCNNNNNNNCACCAGUGGCGAAGGCGGCUCACUGGACGCGUAUUGACGCUGANNUACGA